UCUCAUUAAUGUAUCAAGAAAAAAUUAUCAGUUACCUCCUUUGUAAAGUUUUCUCUGAAGUUCCCAGGCAAAAUGAAUAAAUAUGUCUUCUAUAUUUCCAUAGAAUUUUGCCUGUGAUAUUACUAAGGAAAUUUUAUGCUUCAUGUUAUAAUUUUUUUUUCUAUAUUGUAGGCUCCCCUCAUCCUAUACCUUUAAGAGAAUGCCUCUCAUAAUGUUAAUUCUCUUUGAGUUAGAGCAAGGUCUGACACACAAAGGUGCGAAAUAAAGGUUUGCUAGAUUAAUAAAGUAUGUAUAUUGUUUUUACUAACUUUGCUAAAUGUUUAGCUGUCUUAAUGAAAUAUGAAUGUGGUAACUUGUGCUAAAGGAGAAUGUCAAAAGUGAUUAAUAAUAAUUAUUAAUUUAUCAUAAGAAUAUAUAUUCAAAUUAGCAAAAAGUUAAAACAAAUUCUUACAAAAGGCAUGAAUGAAUUUCAAAAUGUGUGAAAAGUCUGAGAUUAUUGCAGAAUUCUAUUAUUCAUUUUUGAUUAUCUGGUGAAGGUAGAACUAAUGGCCCAGAAUGUUCUGUCCCACAGUUCAGUGAGGAAAUUCUUUUGGGUGGCAUACAACAUUCUUCGUGUCAUAAUAUCACAUGUUCUCUCCUACAUGUGAGAGCCAAAAAAGUUGAUCUCAUGAAGGUAAAGAGUAGACUGAUGGUUACCAGAGGCCAAGAAGAGUAGAGGUAAUAGGGGAUGAAAACAGGAUGGUUAUUAUGUAGAAAACUACAGCCAGAUAGAAGGAAUAAGUUCUAGUGUUUGAUGGUACAAUAGACUGACAAUAGUUAACAAUGAUUUAAUGCUUAUUUUAGGAUAGCUAGAAGAGAACAUUUGGAAUGUUCUCAGCACAAAGAAAUAAUAAAUAUUUGAAGUUGUUAAUAUUCUAAUUACUUUGAUUUGAUUAUUUUAUGCAUGUAUCAAAAUAUCACAUGUACCUCAUAAAUAUGUACAAUUAUUAUAUAGCAAUAAAAAAUAAAAUAAAGUUUCACAUACUUAAGAAAAAUUAUCCAGGUUAUGAAAAACCAAUGUCACUGGAAUUUGCCUCUAAGAGAAAUUGGACAAUUGUUGGAAUAAUGGAAAAAGUCACUCAGGGGCAUGUCUAUUUCAGCAUAUAAUAGGCCUGAAUAAAUUCUCUCCUGCACACGCUACUUCUAGAUUUUCUUUUACUUUACACCAUCUGUUGGUCUGCAUCCCAUGUUGCUUUUUGCAUCCUUUUGGAAGGCAUAAGCAGUACACCUGCCUCACAGAUGUUCCAAGGCUCAACCAGACACCCAGAUGCAAAACUGAUGAAAAGAGAAUUGGCCAAAUUUGAGGUGAAUAAAAAAAUAUUUAAUGCAAUUAGCAAAUUUUCAUGCAUACAGAGAAUAAUCAGGAAAACUUAUUAAAAAUCUGCAGCUUAAUUAAUUUUUAGGCUAUGAAUUAAUUUUUAGUACAAUGAACUGUCUCUUUUUUUGUUAUAUAGAAUUAAUUUCUGGUCCACCUCACCUGAUCCCAGAGAGAAAAAAUCUUGGAGCAGAGCUGGUAAUGUAUUUAAGAUGGCAGAGGUGGUCCCUCUGGAGUGGCUGCUGAGAAGAAACUGGCUGAAGUGGGGGGUGUGGCCAGAGUUGUGCGCUCCACAGGGCCAGCGGGAGCCCCACACUUCUGGGCACAGCUGCAGCUCCAGACUCAGGUGAGAGGUGACAGCAUGAGGGCAGCCCUCACAGCCCUCGCUCGCUCUCGGCGCCUCCUCUGCCUGGGCUCCCACUUUGGUGGCGCUUGAGGAGCCCUUCAGCCCGCCGCUGCACCGUGGGAGCCCCUUUCUGGGCUGCCAAGGCCGGAGCCGGCUCCCUCAGCUUGCAAGGAGGUGUGGAGGGAGAGGCGCGAGCGGCAACCGAGGCUGCGCGCGGCGCAUGCGGACCAGCUGGAGUUCCGGGUAGGCGUCGGGUUGGCGGGCACCGCACUCGGAGCAGCGGGCUGGCCUUGCCGGCCCGGGCAAUGAGGAGCUUAGCACCCGGGCCAGAGGCUGCGGAGGGUGUGCUGGGUCCCCCAGCAGUGCUGGCCUACCGGCGCUGCGCUCGAUUUCUCCCCCGGCCUUAGCUGCCUUCCCGCGGGGCAGGGCUCGGGACCUGCAGCCCGCCAUGCCUGAGCCACUCCCGCCUCCGUGGGCUCCUGUGCAGCCGGAGCCACCCCGACGAGCGCCGCCCCCUGCUCCAGGGCGCCCAGUCCCAUCGACCACCCAAGGGCUGAGGAGCGUGGGCGCAAGGCUCGGGACUGGCAGGCAGCUCCACCUGCAGCCCCAGUGUGAGAUCCACGGGGUGAAGCCAGCUGGGCUCCUGAGUCUGGUGGGAACUUGAAGAACCUUUGUGUCUAGAUACACAGAUGAAGAUGACAUCUAUGGAAUCUUUUCCUUGCAAUUGAUGCAUUCUUUAGUCCAGUAAUAUCAUCUCACUUUGUAUCCAAGAGAUCCUCUCUGUUCAUGUAGAAUUCAGCCAAACACUACAAUGGAUGUGGAAUAAAUGAGCAACAGAUAUUGAAUUAAUAAAUAAACAUCACACUUUCUGAUGAGGCUGGAGGCUCUCACUUGAUAGCAGAGGAUAAAGAGAAGAAGAAAAGCAGGAACUACUUUCGGCUGGUAAGCAGAUCUUACAGUACAGUAGUUAAGCGUAUAAUGUUUGGAGCCUGACAGAUAUAGGCACAAAUCUCAAGUCCACAACUAUGUGAACGUUGAAUCUUGCUCUGCCACCCAGGCUGGAGUGCAGUGAUAUGAUCCUGGUUCAUUGCAACCUCUACCUUCCAGAUUCAAGCAAUUCUCCUGCCUCAGUCUCCCAAGUAGCUGGAAUUACAGGAGCCUCAGAAUACAGCUGCUUCUAGUCAGACACCUUGGACCUGCCCCCCAGAUAUCUCCUUUUUAUGGAGGUUGAAG